rnacentral:rRNA from 1 species
UACGGAGGAUGCAAGCGUUAUCCGGAUUUAUUGGGUUUAAAGGGUGCGCAGGUUGUUUGAUAAGUCAGUGGUGAAAGUCUGUCGCUUAACGGUAGGAUUGCCAUUGAUACUGUUAGACUUGAAUAUGGAUGAGGUAGGCAGAAUGUGUAGUGUAGCGGUGAAAUGCAUAGAUAUUACACAGAACACCGAUUGCGAAGGCAGCUUACUAAUCCAUCAUUGACGCUGAGGCACGAAAGCGUGGGGAUCAAA